ensembl:lncRNA
AUGGGGUCGCAAACAGUCGGACACGACUGAGCAACUGAACUGAACUGAAUCCAUUCAGUCACCAGCCACCAGUAGGAAUUUGUGGGCACACAAUCAGAUCUUCACUCAGCUGCUCAGCAGAGCAAACAGGGGAGCAAGUGGUAAGUCCUCCACGAAUAUGGUGAUGAAUCCAAACUGCAGCACUGUGGGUUGGGGCGUGUCAGGUCUGGGUCACCUCUCCUGCUGGGUCAGCACCCCCCCCGCCCCCGCAAGGGGCCCUGCCGCACCACCGCUUGUCCAUCUCCAGGUAUUCCUCAAAGAGGCCCUGCAGUGGACGAGCUGAGUCCUUCCAACAGCCCUGCUCCUGCCUGGUCCAUCUGGAUGUCCCCAGGCCCCGCCACCUAUCUCUUCUGCUGCCAGGCCUUCAGCUUCCUGGGACAGACAAAGCCAUUUCUAUGCUCCCAGUCCCUUGGAGACAGGCACCACGGUCAUGCCCACUUUACAGAUGAAGACAUGGAGACUCAGAGACCUUGCCCAGGGCUCCCCCAGUUGUUAAUGGUGGAGCCAGGGCUCAAGUGCUUGUUUGCUGGACUCCAGAGUCCAGGGCUCUUAAAAUCUGCGCCUCCUAUAUGGCCAUUCUUGGUCUCUGGAAGCCCUUCCCCUCUCUAAAACACGAAAAGAGAGCGCCCCUCUUUCCCGUUCAUCAUAUCAUUAAUCCACUCAGCUCUCUUGGAGAGGUGUCCUGUAAGCAAGGUCAGAGCUCACAGAAUGCAGAGCUAGGACUUGUGUUCCCGUGUCCCGACCUCAACCAGGGGUUUUUCUGCUUGGCUCUCAUAAAGGCCCCCUGCCCCAGCCUGACUAGGCCCAACCCCCAGGUCGCCCCCUGCAUCCACAGCCUAAUGAACUACCCUACUUUGCUGGCCAGCUGUCUGCCCGCCACAGUGAUGAAGAGCCACUGAGCUUAGGAAGGCAGCCUCCGAGCCACACUGCAAUGGGCAGACACGUGGCACCUUACUCAGAGCUUGGGGGCUGGCCUCAGAGGCAGAUCCUGCCCUGCCAUACCUGAAGGGCGAUGCCCCCACCCCUCAAGAGCCGGCUCUCUGGGUGAGGAUACUUGCGUCCCCAGUCCAUAUGCUGAGCAGCCCGCUGUACUCACCAGGGCAUCCCACAAACCCUCGGGCCCACUGGAUCAGUUGGCAAAGUGCCCUCCCCCUCUGGAUCCAGGCCACAGCUAAACUCCAUGCUGAGGCGGACCCCUCUCCCUGCUGUGCUCCUGGGCCUCUGGCCUCCCACCCACUGAGAGAUAACUCUGGUGACCGGGCUGCUGGGACAUCUUGUCCCACUGCCCCCAGUUAGGCCAUGUUCCCAAGACCUGUUGGGACCAUGGCCCCCACCUACUGCUCAACCCAUGAGAAGCCAAUUGAGUAUUUCUGGGCCAGGAAGAGGGAGUCAUGCUCCUGAGGGGGAGGAGGUGCGGGUUCUUUCAGUGAUUCUCUCUCCCACUCCUGCCAAACGACAGUGGCAGUUACACGGGAACACCUCCUCCUGGGCGUCUAGCCCUUGAAAACUCCUGACCUGUCUUUAUUAAAACUUGAAGCUCCUAGAGGGAAGGCCCAGGUCUGGUUUAUUUCUGUGCCCCCANNNNNNNNNNNNNNNNNNNNNNNNNNNNNNNNNNNNNNNNNNNNNNNNNNNNNNNNNNNNNNNNNNNNNNNNNNNNNNNNNNNNNNNNNNNNNNNNNNNGCUCCUAGAGGGAAGGCCCAGGUCUGGUUUAUUUCUGUGCCCCCAGUAUCCAGUCCAGGCUUCUCAGUGGAAAGGCCUCCACAACGAUGGUGAUGAACCCAAGUGUCAGGAAUGGGAGGUGGGGUGUCAGGCCUGCGCCACUCGGCGGCCGUUGAGUGAGUGAGUGAAUGCAGGUGUUAGUUUCUCACGUACCCAGUGAUGUGUUGGUAUAUUGCAGCUGAGAAAGCUGAAGUCCAGGGAAGUCAAGGGCCAACGUCAAAGUCAACAGCAAGAUGUUAGUAGAGACAAAUCUAGAGGCUCAUGGACACUGCCGCCCGCUGGGACUUCA